GGAGCAACGCCGCGUGAGUGAAGAAGGUUUUCGGAUCGUAAAACUCUGUUGUGAGGGAAGAACAAGUACCAAUUAACUACUGGUACCUUGACGGUACCUCACCAGAAAGCCACGGCUAACUACGUGCCAGCAGCCGCGGUAAUACGUAGGUGGCAAGCGUUGUCCGGAAUUAUUGGGCGUAAAGCGCGCGCAGGCGGUCCUUUAAGUCUGAUGUGAAAGCCCACGGCUCAACCGUGGAGGGUCAUUGGAAACUGGGGGACUUG
rnacentral:rRNA from 1 species